GGCUUGGUGAGCAGAAGAUCAUUUUUUUUUUUUAAAUUAGACAUCUUGCUGUUAAAAAACUUUUGACUGGUAUGUUCACUGAUGAAAUAUGGUUAAUAUGCUGGUAUGAGGCUGAGGAGUCUGCACAGGCCUAGGAAUAUCAUUUUAUCCUGAUCUAUUCAAGUGUUUUUGUCUAUUUUUGUUUAAUAUUUUGUUUUAACCAAUAAAAAAAUGUGAUUUAGA